rnacentral:rRNA from 1 species
GUCCAUGCCGUAAACGUUGGGCACUAGGUGUGGGGACAUUCCACGUUUUCCGCGCCGUAGCUAACGCAUUAAGUGCCCCGCCUGGGGAGUAUGGCCGCAAGGCUAAAACUCAAAGGAAUUGACGGGGGCCCGCACAAGCGGCGGAGCAUGCGGAUUAAUUCGAUGCAACGCGAAGAACCUUACCAAGGCUUGACAUGAACCGGAAACGCCUGGAAACAGGUGCCCCGCUUGCGGUCGGUUUACAGGUGGUGCAUGGUUGUCGU